rnacentral:rRNA from 1 species
GAUGAACGCUGGCGGCGUGCCUAAUACAUGCAAGUCGAGCGAACGGACGAGAAGCUUGCUUCUCUGAUGUUAGCGGCGGACGGGUGAGUAACACGUGGAUAACCUACCUAUAAGACUGGGAUAACUUCGGGAAACCGGAGCUAAUACCGGAUAAUAUUUUGAACCGCAUGGUUCAAAAGUGAAAGACGGUCUUGCUGUCACUUAUAGAUGGAUCCGCGCUGCAUUAGCUAGUUGGUAAGGUAACGGCUUACCAAGGCAACGAUGCAUAGCCGACCUGAGAGGGUGAUCGGCCCCCCUGGAGCUGAGACACGGUCCAGACUCCUACGGGAGGCAGCAGUAGGGAAUCUUCCGCAAUGGGCGAAAGCCUGACGGAGCAACGCCGCGUGAGUGAUGAAGGUCUUCGGAUCGUAAAACUCUGUUAUUAGGGAAGAACAUAUGUGUAAGUAACUGUGCACAUCUUGACGGUACCUAAUCAGAAAGCCACGGCUAACUACGUG